CACUUUCCAAUGAAAAUAAAUCUUACAGAAAAAGUAAUAGAAAGCUAACUGCCUUAAGCAAUGCCAGUCUGAGAAUUAUGGGAGCUGUUGGAAGCCAUUGGUUUCUCAAAUUUUAUCAUGCAUCAGAGCUAUCAGGCUUGUUUUUGCUGUUCUUCCCCACAGUUUCUGAUUCAAUUGUCUGCAAAAGUCCAGAAAUUAGUUUCCGAGUUAAGCAGUACUCGUGUUUCUAGUCCAAAGGGCCUAACUUGAACUAGUGUUCUAAAGCAAAAAGAUGAGGGGAAAAGAACAGCUUAAGGAAUACAAUGAGUAGCUGACAUUUUGGAAAACAAAAUAGGAGUGUGAAAAGAUUAUUUGGAAUUUUAUAUUAAAGGGAUUUGAGCAGACAUCAGAUAUUUGAAAAGUAAGUGAUAUAAAUUGAUGUCUACACUUAGAUACAGUAGGAAGCAUUUUCUCCAGCUUUAUAGCCAAGGGAACAGUAGAAAGGCAGAAUGGUUUUGAUUAAGUGUCACAUGCAGCCAGUUUGCUUCACAAAUGAUUCGUUUUGAGAAAAUAUGCUUGACGUCACAAUGGGUAUAGUUCUUAAUUAGGGAUAAUCAGAAGUGUUAUUUGGAAAUGACACAUUUGAAGUUUGAGGAAAACCUAAAUUCUCAAACGUUACUUAACAAAAUGCAGGAUUUAUUUUUCUUUGACAGGGAGCUACUCAAUAUUUUCCUCAGGCAAAAUGCUAGUCUGAAUGCAAUGGAAUGUUCAGGAUCGGUCACCACUUCUCAAGAAAAGUAUCGAACAAGUUAUGUGAUUAGAGAAGGCUAGAGACUGAACUUGACUAAUAAUGUUCAGACUGGUUUCCGAGAUAAAAAAAGGAACGGGGAGGCAGCAACCCUAAAGAAAACUGGGCUCUUUAGGGAAGUGAAGAAACUUCAUAGUAUAAGUGCAUGUAAUUCUUAACUGUAAGAAGUGACAACUUCAGAAUGAGAAAAAUGUUUCAAGUUAAUGUUUCUCACCUCUGGAGCAGCAAAAUCCCAAGUCACAUUUUAUUGACAAGAUAUUGGUGAAAUAUCUACUCAGACAUUGCUUUGGUCAUUACAGCAUUGUCUCUCUGAAGGGUGAAUGAGCAGAUUCAAUCAGAUUUAAACAAGAUUUAUGUGGUUGUCAAGUAUAUGAAAAACCAAGAGGUAAUAAUAGUUACAGACUUGAUUAUUUAAGGGAAUACUCCAAAUCUCCACACACUGUUACAGGUACGUAGUGAGAGCCAAAUCAGUUUUUCUGUAGCAGCCCUCAGAUGUAAAACUUAGUUGCUCUUGAGGUACAGAAAAUAAUCCCUGUGUCCCAGUGUUUGUUGAAAAGUAAGGCAGAAUCUGGAACUGACUGCAGUGUGCAUCUUCACAGACCAGGUAGGAGCCCUGGUCCCGGGACUUAGGCCUCUGUAGUUACCAUGCCAAGCUUAAAGCCAGACUUGCUGAUUUGAUCUGAAAGAGUUGGAAAAGAAGAAAUUGCCUUUCAUCUAAUUUCUCCUAAAAUGUUGGCAAUAGCUUAUCAAGCUGAAUCCAGUAGCCUGGGAUUUGCUUUGUGUCUCCAGGUGGUUGACAGGUACUCAUGUAACUGAGUCACCAUUCCCUAUUGAUGCCAGGGUGCACAUUCACAGGAAGCUGGAUUGACACAUUGCAGGGACUCGACAAUGGGGAAUGAGCAUCCUCAUUGCAUGUUAUAGCUGCUGUGUCAACAUACCUCGCUCAUCCCAAAUCCACUCUCAGUGGGCCCCAGCAUGGUGGGUGCUGGUGGCUGAGACUUUGGUAAUGACCAGUAAGUUAUACAUCAGUUAAUUGGAUUAUAUCUGAGUUGUUUUUUGAGUUAAAAUUUUCAGUGAGUAGCAUUUCAUUGUAGAGGGAUAUUCAUUGAGGGGGGUGAAAUUGCUGUACUCCCAAGCCAUUGCCUUCACCUGGGUAAUUCUUCUGAGGGAGAAAGGGCCUCUUAGGCCUCUUGAUAGGGCAGUAAUCCUACUCAGGAGGCCAGAUACCUCAAAGACAUCCAAUACCUUGAUUUAACGUGGGAACUUUGGAGGAACACAUCUAUACCUUCAGUCCAUAUCACCUGUUCAGCUCAAAAUACUAAAAUAAUUUUAUAUGUCAGCUCUAAUAGAGACAUAAGACACCUUACAUUUUAACCAAAUCUUUACACUGCUUUGUAGGUUGCAUAGAGUGUGAAGCAGCUUAUCUUAUUUAAUUCUGUAAAUCUAAUGAAAAUGAUUUCACCCUUUUUGUUAAAAUUCCUACUUAGUUCCACUAGGGGGAGAGCUUCACUACUAAAUAAUCUCAAGAAGCAGUUUGAUUUUCUGCACAGCAGCCCAGUAGUAAUAUUUGUGACAUAAGGUUUUGUCCAUAUGGUAACUCCUUUUCAGAAGCAAUUGAUUUUCUGCUGUGCAAUUCCAGUAUAUGCUUUUUUUUUUCAUAAUUCAAACCAUUUAGUUCAAAAAAGUGAAUUUUAAAAUUCAGUGUUGACUUUGGAUGGGUUCUUUAUUUGUAAGUGCUGUUUUACAAAGAAUUGUCUUAACAAUUCUAUUGGAUUUUUUCUUUUUUGCACACUUGUUGUCCUGUGUAGGUAGUCCCUCUGCUAUACUAGGCCCAGCAUUUAUUUGCCUCUCCUUCAUUUGCCUGGAAUGGAGACCCUGUACCCUGUCGCAGUCCUAAGUCAGAAGUCCACCAUCUCCAACUGAGUCAGAGUCUCCUAGAGAGACUUGACAUGGACAUGGACAGUGCAUCGUUGACCUUUCUUUCACCCAUGCACCUGGGAGUCGAGUUGUGCAGAACGGCUGUGUGCUGGCAUGCAUGAUGAGCUGCGAUUCAGGUGACCCAUGGGUCUAGAAACUAUGCUUGGAAUCAAGUUACCACACGUACUGGGUGCCUCCUAAAUAGUUAUCUCCCUCUGUAUUUUCCCUUUACACAUUUCUUAUGACAAGUAUUUUUCUUUGAGAGGAUUAUUAGACCUUCCCUAUUUGGUAUUCAUGGGGUAGUAUGUUUUGCAACACCAGGAACUCAUAUACGUUGGGCCACUCAGCUUAUUGUGAGCCUCCCUUUUUACAUUUUCAGUAUAGCUAGAAAAGUGAUUUUUCCCUUGCCCAUGUGAUAGGCCAAAAAGCUACUUCUAGUCCAGAAGGAGUUUGUGAAAUUUUAGUGUUGGCUAGAUAACAAAACUUUUUUUUUUUCUCUCGAGAGGAUGGUCAACAUCAUUGAGGCACUAAGCCAAAUAUUUUACAUGCAUUAACAUUCUUAGUAAUAAACCCAGAAUGUCUAAGCCUGUUUAAUAUAUGUCAGAAGUUUCCCGAACAGUAAUGAAGGAAACUGAGGACAUUGAUGGGGGAGGUAGGAAGCAUUGUGAUACCGAGGAACCUAGGAAAUAGCUGACAGGAAGAUGGGGCAUUGGAGAAGUAGGAAUCAAGUAGAAAUAAAAACCCAGCAUAAUUAAUAUAUCCAACUCUUGUCUGUAUUAAAAUGACUUUCUGAAAGUCUGAGUCAAUCUGGAAUAGUGACAUAAGCAUCCUUUUAAAGUCAAAAACUGGUAGUACAUAUAUAGUGUGCAGUAGUAGUAGAUACAUGUAAUGAGAUGUGCUUUAGUUUAAAUGUUCAAAUGUUUUAAUUCUAUAAUAUACAGUUUAUCAACAUAAAUAGGAUUUUUAAAUGCCCUCAGUUGUUCAGAUACUUCUUUUAGAUGUCCUUUCAAAGUAUCUCUUAAGGGAAACGCAAGUGACCCUGUAAGUUUCUGCAACACAGCAUUGCUGAGCAAACGGAAGCCACAAGGCAGAUUUCUAACGUCAUCGGCUGUGCGCUCCUGUGGUUACCAGCAUGGCCCACAGUGAUCAUCUGCUGUCAGUGAGGUGGGCUGCUUCUAUAAAUAUCUGUGUAGUUGCUUAGAGUGGAGGGAGUAGAGAUAUUUAUCUAUUUAGUCUUUUGUUUGAGUAAAGAAGUAGGAAAAUUUUGUGAUAAAAUUUUUUUUUAAACCAAAAUACUACAUUUUCCCCAUGUUCUCAAUGUAUGUGUAUUCAUUCUAUCUGCCCAAGUUGAAGUAUUAGAGUCAAAAAACCUUUGGAAAUAUUUGAAAAGAUAUACAAAACAAACAUUUGGAUUAGGAAUAGGACUAUGAACUCAGCUGGCACAUUGAAUUGCUCAUAAUAGAUUAUGAGAUUAAAAGUCGCAGUUGCAGAGCAAUAUUGGUGCAGUAGUGAAGAUACCGCUUGUGAUGCCUGUGUCUCAUAUGGGAAUCCCUUGGUCUGAAUCCAUGCUCCAGUUCUGGCUUCCUGUUAUUGAGCACUUUGCGGGGCAGCACAUGAUGCUUCAAGUAUUGAGUCUCUACCAUCCAUUUGAGAGGUGUCUGUGGAACCUCAAGCCCCUGACGCUGAUCUGGCUUACCCUUGGCUCUUUGUGAACCAUUCAGAGAUUAAG